GUUAAGGUGAUCUGGGAGAGAAGAGGGUAUGGCAGACCUUGGAUUUGUAAAGUUGAUUUGUUGGCUUGACUUCCUGGGGCAUAACAUCAUGCAAACGAAGUGUCUGGGUUUUCUCCGGUCUUUGUACUCUACUCUCCACAGAAGAGCUAGUGGUCCAGUUGGUUCUGAAAGACCCCCGGAGGCUCAGGCCCCAAGGAUCUUGGCCCAGGACCUCAGUGACCCCAAUCACCAAGCGGGGUUGAAAACUUGAUGCAAACAGCAUGAGGCUUUAUUGCAGUUGUUUAACGAGCUAACCCCAUGUUAGCUCAGGCCUUUCAUCCACCCACCAUGGAGGAUGGCUGGGGAAAGACUGAGAAGCCACAGGACCGAUAUCUUAUAGGGCAACGUAAGGGUAGUGUCUAGGGGUAUGCACAGGCUCAGGAUUGGUGUGCCUCCAGGCUUGGAGGACUUGCCCUGUGUUGAUUGGACAACUGGUUGUUAUGGCCCAUAGGCCCUCCCAGGGCAGUUGCUAUGCUCUGCACGUCAUUGCUGUGCACUUGUUCGUAAAGCACACCCAGAGCUGUAAAGCAUAGCACCACCAGCUAACUUCUGAUUGGUUCCUUGCCACGAGGCAGGCAUCUGACCUCCUAGUGACCAAGGCAAGGUCAGGCAAGCACAUGUUAGGCUGUUAUGGCUGCCAAAAUGGGGAACUGGUCCCUUCAGUUCCUCAGGUGCCUGAGGACCAGAGGGUUAGGUUGCCUUAGCCCUUAGGGAGUGACAGGAAUGCUGAGAAUGUCUGGCACCAAUUUUCAGACCCUCUGGGAAAGGAAGUUUUGGCUUGGAGUGAUGGAGGAAGCAAUCUUUACCUCUGACCACAGUUACCUGAGGACUUGGAUCUCACCCCUGAGCCCAAGGGUCUGCUGCUGAAAUCCUCCAGAUCUGUCCACCCGGGAAGAGAGGCCCCUGUGAAAGAUUGCAUAGCAAACUACAGAUGUGAAAUUCUUUUUUAAAGAUUUGUUUGUUUUUAUUUUAUAUGCAUUGGUAUUUUGCCUGCAUAUAUGUCUGUGUGAAGGUGCCAGAUCCCCUGGAACUGGAGUUACAGACAGUCAUGAGCCACCAUGUGGAUGCUGGGAAUUGAAUCUGGGUCCUCUGGAAGAGCAGCCAGUGCUCUUAACCUCUGAGCCUUGUCUCCAGCCCAUGUGAAAUUAUUUUGCCUCUGAUUCUUAACCCUGAGUUAUUUAUUCUGAGACAGUGUUUCUCAACCUUCAGUGUAGUUCCUCAUGUUGUGAUGACCCCCCAACCAUAAAAUCUUUUUCAUUGCUACUUCAUGACUGCAAUUUUGCUACUGUU
rnacentral:lncRNA from 1 species